rnacentral:rRNA from 1 species
CUACGGGAGGCAGCAGUGGGGAAUAUUGCACAAUGGGCGCAAGCCUGAUGCAGCGACGCCGCGUGAGGGAUGAAGGCCUUCGGGUUGUAAACCUCUUUCAGUAGGGAAGAAGCCGGCUUUUUGGGUUGGUGACGGUACCUGCAGAAGAAGCGCCGGCUAACUACGUGCCAGCAGCCGCGGUAAUACGUAGGGCGCAAGCGUUAUCCGGAAUUAUUGGGCGUGAAGAGCUCGUAGGCGGUUUGUCGCGUCUGCCGUGAAAGUCCGGGGCUUAACUCCGGAUCUGCGGUGGGUACGGGCAGACUAGAGUGCAGUAGGGGAGACUGGAAUUCCUGGUGUAGCGGUGAAAUGCGCAGAUAUCAGGAGGAACACCGAUGGCGAAGGCAGGUCUCUGGGCUGUAACUGACGCUGAGGAGCGAAAGCAUGGGGAGCGAACAGGAUUAGAUACCCUGGUAGUCCAUGCCGUAAACGUUGGGCACUAGGUGUGGGGGACAUUCCACGUUUUCCGCGCCGUAGCUAACGCAUUAAGUGCCCCGCCUGGGGAGUACGGCCGCAAGGCUAAAACUCAAAGGAAUUGACGGGGGCCCGCACAAGCGGCGGAGCAUGCGGAUUAAUUCGAUGCAACGCGAAGAACCUUAC